rnacentral:rRNA from 1 species
GACGAACGCUGGCGGCGUGCUUAACACAUGCAAGUCGAACGAAGAGCGAUGGAAGCUUGCUUCUAUCAAUCUUAGUGGCGAACGGGUGAGUAACGCGUAAUCAACCUGCCCUUCAGAGGGGGACAACAGUUGGAAACGACUGCUAAUACCGCAUACGAUCUAAUCUCGGCAUCGAGGAUAGAUGAAAGGUGGCCUCUACAUGUAAGCUAUCACUGAAGGAGGGGAUUGCGUCUGAUUAGCUAGUUGGAGGGGUAACGGCCCACCAAGGCGAUGAUCAGUAGCCGGUCUGAGAGGAUGAACGGCCACAUUGGGACUGAGACACGGCCCAGACUCCUACGGGAGGCAGCAGUGGGGAAUCUUCCGCAAUGGACGAAAGUCUGACGGAGCAACGCCGCGUGAGUGAUGACGGCCGUCGGGUUGUAAAGCUCUGUUAAUCGGGACGAAAGGCCUUCUUGCGAACAGUUAGAAGGAUUGACGGUACCGGAAGAGAAAGCCACGGCUAACUACGUG